rnacentral:lncRNA from 1 species
AUUUAUCCACUUUUAAAUCAGGUACCCCACAAAGAUAUACUAAGAGACUUGAAAAGACAAUAAAAUUGUCACUUAAUCUAAACAGAAAAUCAAGGAGAGAAACAAACAUGUGGCUGUGUGAGAGAGGGUCGGAGAGUUGGGUCACUGCAACUGAAGGAGAGAAAAAGAGAAACUAAGGGCUGAGUCGAUUCAAGGUUGCUGCGAGUCGCAGUCGCUGCUAUGAGACUGUGAUGGAAUUGUGUGGAGCUGUGAUGGAUUGCGAAGUGUCGAGAAGUCGAGAAGAAGAUUCGAAGUACUCGCGACGAGAAGAAACAGAGUACUCAAUUUUUCGUUUUAGGGAUUUAUCAUUUGUUUUUAAUCCAUGGGACACCCAUGGAUCAUUAUUGGUAUCAAGUAAAACCAUGUUUUAAAGUCUUGGGGCAGAUCUGCCAAGGCACACGCCUUGGUAGCUCGGCGUCUGAAGACGUCGAGCUACCAAGGCACACGCCUUGGUAGAUCUUGGUAGCUCUGUCUCAAGUCGGCUCACGUCAUGCCAUUCCUUCCAUCGCCGGGAUGCCUAGGCGCCGCCUAGGCGAUGCUGUGACAACUAUGGUCACGAUGGAGAAAAAAGAGUAGCUCCAAUUCAUGCUAGAGCUUUAGCUCUGCAAUCUCUCCCCCAAAAUAAAACUCACAAACACACAAUAAGGGUUUUCUUUCGUUUUGAAAUAAGUAACUUCAUUCAAAAGUCAACAAAACUUGGGGUAAAAUGGGAUCCAGUGUGAAAGUAAAGCACAUUGAGCAACUAAGUAAGUCCAUUGUGUAAGUAAAGCACGUUGCGUAACUAGAAUGGGACCAUUGCGCAAGGAAAACACUUUUGGUAAACAUAAAUCUUGUUUCCUUGAUUUGCAUGUACAAAAC